GUUGGGGGAUGUGAUUAGAGGUCAAGCGUUUUACUGCAAUACCAGGUAGUCAGCCAUCCCAGUCCCCAGGGGCCGACCUGCAAAGUACUGCGCGUUUCCGCCCCCCUUCCCACCCCCACACGCAGCGGUUACACCUCUGGGAAGCAUUACCUUGGCCUGAUGACUUCACGCUGCUGAGGGGAACCCACUGAUUUCCCCCAGCAAACCUUCACGCUUCAGCCUUUGUUUGAACUCCGCCUUAGGUGGUUCAACUCUUCGAGAGACUGGCUUAAAUUUCAGAGCACAAUUUCAUCCCGCUUAAUCAGACUCGAGCUUCCUGAUUCAGUUUUUCGAAAAACACAUUUGUUGUUUCUCGCCUCUGACUUGUAAUUCAUGACCCAUGAGACAGAAGUAAAAUGUUCUCUGACUGCAAAUAGAUGUAAAAGCUGAUUAUACAGCUACACAUUUCUGGCAUCCUCCCAUCUCCACCCCAAAGAAAGAGACAUGGGGUCUCACUAUGUUGCCCAGACUGAUCUCAAACUCCUCCCGGGCUCAAGCAAUUCUUCUUCUUCUACCUUCCAAAGUGCUGGGAUUAUAGG